rnacentral:rRNA from 1 species
GAUGAACGCUGGCGGCGUGCCUAAUACAUGCAAGUCGAGCGAACAGACGAGGAGCUUGCUCCUCUGACGUUAGCGGCGGACGGGUGAGUAACACGUGGAUAACCUACCUAUAAGACUGGGAUAACUUCGGGAAACCGGAGCUAAUACCGGAUAAUAUAUUGAACCGCAUGGUUCAAUAGUGAAAGACGGUUUUGCUGUCACUUAUAGAUGGAUCCGCGCCGCAUUAGCUAGUUGGUAAGGUAACGGCUUACCAAGGCAACGAUGCGUAGCCGACCUGAGAGGGUGAUCGGCCACACCGGAACUGAGACACCGUCCAGACUCCUACGGGAGGCAGCAGUAGGGAAUCUUCCGCAAUGGGCGAAAGCCUGACGGAGCAACGCCGCGUUAGUGAUGAAGGUCUUCCGAUCGUAAAACUCUGUUAUUAGGGAAGAACAAAUGUGUAAGUAACUAUUCACGUCUUGACGGUACCUAAUCAGAAAGCCACGGCUAACUACGUG